GACGCGUGGCGCAAUCGGAAGCACACCUGCUCGACCCGCAGGCGGUUGGAGGUUCGAGUCCUCCCGACCCGUCACCG
rnacentral:tRNA from 1 species